UUGUUCGUUCGGCUCGAGUCAG
rnacentral:miRNA from 1 species